GGGCUUUUCAUUGAUUUCGAGACGACCGCUCUCGUAUUUUCGCCUAUAGCAACGGUAGCUAAGGUCGAUGAAUUCUCUUGGGAAACAAUCAAUGUGUGUCACGCGGACGCGCACACUGCCCAAGUAGCGUGCGGCAUACUGACCGUCAUAACAGUGUAGCUUUUAUUUGGCACAGUCGUUACUGGAUUUGUGGCCGCUUUCUCUAUGGUCUGAAAACCAGCUCUACGGAAAGAACGUUGACUAACUGCGAACCUGGAUGCGAAGCACUACCUAGGUCAUGUAAUCAAGGCAAUAAAACUUCCACGCAAAGCCACAUGAAGCCGUAUGCGAUGGUUCUGCCUUCAACUGCCUUGUUUGGGUCUUCAUUUGGCAGCUUAUUCCUCAAGACAAUUGGGAGCACCAAUGCUAGCCUUUUGCUGAUAUUGGUGUUUGCCUUUGUGGUGAGUCCAAAUCACGUAUUCCAUCGGCUACCUAUUCAUGCGGCGGCCUGAGUUGCGCGGCUGCGACAGGGCGUCCUGCUCAGCCGGUGGUGAGCAGCGAGCCAAGGAGACGAGCGGCAACGCGGACGGCGCCAAGAGCACUGCCGGUGGCCGGAAAGACGAGACCACGCCGCUUCUCGAAAGCUCCGGAGACGAAGAAGAAGAGGAGGAGGAGGAGGAAGAACCCUCGUCUUCGGAGUCGGCAGCCAACGAGAAAGAAGCCAACUGACAUUCUACUUCCAGCUGGAUCUUUAUGCUGCGCCUUGCAACCUGCGCUUGUCCAAUAGGCUCCAUCGUGGGGCUGCGUUCAGCGCCGUCGGAUGCCAAGCUUUCCAUCUGUUCGCAACCAUCAGCAGGACUUCUUGCGGGGCAUGACGUCAUCCUUCACCGAAAACCACUUUCAGUAAUUCGCGCGAAAUAUUCAAUAAACAUUACCGACAGCAAUAA